rnacentral:rRNA from 1 species
CAAGCUAAUCCAACGCAAAGCCAGCUCUUACCGAUGUAAUCCACCUUUCCUGAUUUGAUAAUGCUAUCUAAUCAGUGUAUUUGGGAUUAGUCCAGCUUUCGCCAGGUUAUCCCAAACUAAGAGACAGGUUCUCCACGCGUUACUCACCCCUCCGCCACUUCCCGGAUCUCAUCUUCAUCCCGAACGAAUCUGUUGAGGCGGGUCGUUCCACUUGCAUGUGUUAAGCACGCCGCCAGCGUUCGUCCUGAGCCAUGAUCAAACUCUGGCCAGCGAGUUGAAUUCCAUAUCAAGCUUAUCGAUACCGUCAACCUCCACGGGGGGCCCGGUACCAGCUUUUUGUUCCCUUUACGAAGUUU